rnacentral:rRNA from 1 species
UACGAAGGGGGCUAGCGUUGUUCGGAAUUACUGGGCGUAAAGCGCGCGCAGGCGGUUCUUCAAGUCAGAGGUGAAAGCCCAGAGCUCAACUCUGGAAUGGCCUUUGAGACUAGAGAACUAGGGUACGGGAGAGGUGAGUGGACUUCCGAGUGUAGAGGUGAAAUUCGUAGAUAUUCGGAAGAACACCAGUGGCGAAGGCGGCUCACUGGCCCGUUACCGACGCUCAGGCGCGACAGCGUGGGGAGCAAACAGG